rnacentral:tRNA from 2 species
GGACAGAUGGCCGAGCGGUUAAGGCGGUAGACUCAAGUUCUACUAGAGAAAUCUGCGGGGGUUCGAAUCCCCCUCUGUUCA